CCUACGGGAGGCAGCAGUGAGGAAUAUUGGACAAUGGGCGCAAGCCUGAUCCAGCCAUGCCGCGUGCAGGAUGACGGUCCUAUGGAUUGUAAACUGCUUUUGCACAGGAAGAAACAACAUUACGUGUAAUGUCUUGACGGUACUGUGAGAAUAAGGAUCGGCUAACUCCGUGCCAGCAGCCGCGGUAAUACGGAGGAUCCAAGCGUUAUCCGGAAUCAUUGGGUUUAAAGGGUCCGUAGGCGGUUUAGUAAGUCAGUGGUGAAAGCCCAUCGCUCAACGGUGGAACGGCCAUUGAUACUGCUAAACUUGAAUUAUUAGGAAGUAACUAGAAUAUGUAGUGUAGCGGUGAAAUGCUUAGAGAUUACAUGGAAUACCAAUUGCGAAGGCAGGUUACUACUAAUAUAUUGACGCUGAUGGACGAAAGCGUGGGUAGCGAACAGGAUUAGAUACCCUGGUAGUCCACGACGUAACGAUAGAUACUAGCUGUUGGUAGGACAAUACUCAGUGGCGUAGACGAAGUAGAGUAAGUA
rnacentral:rRNA from 1 species